AAGGCGGACGGCUCAGUAACACGUAGUCAACUUACCCUAUGGACGAGGAUAAUCUCGGGAAACUGAGCAUAAUACUCGAUAGAUCAUAAUGCCUGGAAUGGUUUAUGAUUAAAAUGGUUCGUCGCCAUAGGAUGGGACUGCGGCCUAUCAGCUUGUUGGUGAGGUAAUGGCCCACCAAGGCGAUUACAGGUACGGGCUCUGAGAGGAGAAGCCCGGAGAUGGGUACUGAGACAAGGACCCAGGCCCUAUGGGGCGCAGCAGGCGAGAAAACUUUGCGAUGUGCGAAAGCACGACAAGGUUAAUCCGAGUGAUUUCUGCUAAAGAAAUCUUUUGCAAGUCAUAAAACCACUAGUGAAUAAGGGGUGGGCAAGUUCUGGUGUCAGCCGCCGCGGUAAAACCAGCACCUCAAGUGGUCAGGAGGAUUAUUGGGCCUAAAGCAUCCGUAGCCGGCUCUGUAAGUUUUCGGUUAAAUCCAUGUGCUCAACGCAUGGGCUGCCGAAAAUACUGCAUAGCUAGGGAGUGGGAGAGGUAGACGGUACUCAGUAGGAAGGGGUAAAAUCCUUUGAUCUAUUGAUGGCCACCUGUGGCGAAGGCGGCCUACCAGAACACGUUCGACGGUGAGGGAUGAAAGCUGGGGGAGCAAACCGGAUUAGAUACCCGGGUAGUCCCAGCUGUAAACGAUGCAGACUCGAUGAUGCAUUG
rnacentral:rRNA from 1 species